rnacentral:misc_RNA from 1 species
GUGAAUCAUCAAAUUUUUGAACGCAUAUUGCACUCUCUGGUAUUCCGGAGAGUAUGCCUAUUUGAGGGUCAUUUGAAAUAAUAUAAAUUUCAAUAUUUUCGUUAAAUCAAAAUUAGGUCUGUGCAUCUAUCGUGUGGUCUUGGCCUAAAAGGCAAGACAAGCUCAUUUCUUGGAUUGCGUGAUACUUUCAUUUACGUC